UACGUAGGGAGCAAGCGUUAUCCGGAAUUAUUGGGUGUAAAGGGUGCGUAGGCGGUGUAGCAAGUUAGAAGUGAAAUACCUAGAGCUUAAUUCAGGUGCUGCUUCUAAAACUGCUAUACUUGAGUGCAGUAGAGGAAAGUGGAAUUCCUAGUGUAGCGGUGGAAUGCGUAGAUAUUAGGAGGAACAUCAGUGGCGAAGGCGACUUUCUGGACUGUAACUGACGCUGAGGCACGAAAGUGUGGGGAGCAAACAGG
rnacentral:rRNA from 1 species